AACACUCAUGCACACACGAUGGUGUGUUCAAAGCAUUUUCACAAAGGCAAACCUGCCUAUGAAAUGUUGGAGUGUGAUCCUGACUGGACCCCUUCUCUGUACCUCGGCCAUACUGAGGUCAAAGCUACGAACACAGACCAGUUCAAGCCCUUUUGGAGAAUUCUAUACCAAGCUCACAUCUAAUAUGUAAAUGUUUAUUGUUUUCCAAAAGAUUUUGUAAUGUCUCUUCUCACAUGUAACGAUUUUUAGCCAUGUCUGUAAAUAAAAUACACAAAGACUGAAUGAAA